UACGUAGGGGGCGAGCGUUGUCCGGAAUCAUUGGGCGUAAAGAGCGUGUAGGCGGCUUGGCAAGUCUUGCGUGAAAUCCUGCGGCUCAACCGCAGGCGGUCGCAGGAAACUGCCUCGCUAGAGUCCGGAAGAGGAGAGCGGAAUUCCUGGUGUAGCGGUGGAAUGCGCAGAUAUCAGGAGGAACACCAAUAGCGAAGGCAGCUCGCUGGGACGUUACUGACACUGAGGCGCGAAAGCGUGGGGAGCGAACAGG
rnacentral:rRNA from 1 species